rnacentral:lncRNA from 1 species
CAACUUACAUUCGGUCAACCGGGACCUCAUGAGCUGGAACGUCUGAGCAAUCUGGUAGGCAAGCCAUCUGAGAACCAUCCUCUUCAUAACAGUGGGCUGUUAAGCCUGGAUCCUGUGCAGGACAAAACUCCUCUCUAUAGUCAACUCCUUCAAGCAUAUAAGUGGUCAAACAAUUGCAGUACCAUGCAGGACUAGCAUCUGGCCUUUUAAAUCAGCAGUCAUUGAAGCGUUCCGCUAAUCAGAUGGGAGUAUCUGCCAAACGUAGACCAAAGGCUCAGCCCACAACUCUUGUCCUACCACCUCAUAUGUUGAUGAUGUGAUCAGCCGCAUUGACAGGAUGUUUCCUGAAAUGUCCAUCCACUUAUCCAGACCCAAUGGAACAUCAGCAAUGCUUCUGUGACCUUGGGAAAGGUGUUGAAAGUGAUCGUC